UCGAAAAAGACUAGGAAGACUCGAUAAAGACUUGAAAACCAAUUGAAAAGCAUAUAUACAAGAUGUAUAAAACACCAUAUAUCACUUACCUUUCUGCAAAAAAAUUGUUACUGUAGGUGUUCCAAGCAGAAAUACCUGAAAGAGGAAGUAAGACAGUUGGCAAGCCACAAUCAUGUCAUCGUAAAAUUGCAAAAAGAUUAACAGGAGCAUCAUGGCCAUGGGUGGUCCGAAACGAGAAUGGCCAACUCCUCAUGCACAGCUGAAGGUCAUAUACUCAGGUUGAUUCUAUAAUAUUGGCCAAAAUGAAGAGUUGGAAAUGGACACUUGAAAAUAUGAGAAGUCUGGUUUUGCUUUGUUAUUUUAUUAGCAGGAUGCUUUGCUCUGCUCUUAUGUGAAGCUUAUUUUGUGGUUGAACUUUGGAUUGUUUGCAUGAGUAUGAAUGAAUUUAUAUAGAGGAAAAAAAACAUUUUACUAGAGAA